rnacentral:misc_RNA from 1 species
GUAGGUGAACCUGCGGAAGGAUCAUUACCGAGAUUAGGGUCCUUCGGGGCCCGACCCUCCCUACCCUUUGCGUAUCUACCUCUGUUGCUUCGGCGGAUCGCGGGAUCCGUGCGGGGUGUCGCCCCGCACUUCCCCCGCCCCGCCCGGGGCCCUCUCCAUCCUGACUUAUCACUGUCGUCUGAGCAGACACGCAAACAAAACGAAAAACUUUCAACAACGGAUCUCUUGGUUCUG